rnacentral:misc_RNA from 1 species
GGAAAGUUCUGCAAGGCAGUGGUCCUGGGGGUGAUAUACUCUGCAGCUGUUGGAGGGAUGAGCACUCUUACGGGGACGGGUGUCAACCUGAUAUUGGUGGGGAUGUGGAAGAGCUAUUUUCCACAGGCAAAUCCUAUCAGCUUCAGCACUUGGUUCUUCUUCGGGUUUCCUCUGGCUUUGGUAAUUUUCCUUGCUUUGUGGGCCAUACUUUGUUUGUUGUAUUGCUCAAGAGGUUCAGGCCAAGUCCUCUCUGCUUAUUUGGACAGAGCUCACCUCAAGGGAGAACUUGAAACUCUAGGUCCAAUGGCUUUUGCUGAAAAGUCGAUUUUAGCCAUAUUUGGGAUGCUAAUAGUUUUAUGGAUGACAAGAAGCUUAACAGAUGAGAUUCCUGGUUGGGGAGCUCUCUUCAAUGGACGUGCUGGGGAUGGAACUGUCAGUGUUAUGAUGGCAACAUUACUAUUCAUAAUACCAAGCAAGAAGCAAAAGGGUGAGAAAUUGAUGGAUUGGAACAAAUGCAAGAAGCUACCAUGGAACAUCAUAUUACUCCUAGGAGCUGGUUUUGCCAUUGCAGAUGGAGUGAGGACUAGUGGCCUGGCUGAUGUGCUUUCAAAAGCAUUGGACUUCUUGGAGGAAGCACCAUACUGGGAAAUUGCCCCUAUUGUGUGUCUCAUUAGUGCCACAAUCACUGAAUUCACUUCCAAUAAUGCCACAACCACACUCUUGGUCCCUCUGCUCAUUCAAAUUGCAAAAUCUAUGCAUGCCCACCCACUGCUGCUUAUGGUUCCUGGAGCAAUUGGAGCACAAUUUUCUUUCUUGCUUCCAACUGGAACACCUUCCAAUAUUGUAGGGUUCACCACUGGGCAUAUUGAGAUCAAAGAUAUGAUUAAGACUGGGUUGCCCCUCAAGAUUGCUGGUAUUACAGCACUUGCUUUUCUAAUGCCUACACUAGGAGCUUAUGUUUUUAGGACAAAUGGAGAAGUUCAAUAAACAUCUGCAUAGUCUUGUGUGAUCAGCAGCUGGUCUCUUCCUCGUUGUAGGGCUUGAAGAAUUGAAGUUAUAUAUUUUGUGCAAUCAAAGUGAAAUGCUCUUCUUGUUUCCAAAUUUUCCUUCUAUAUUUUUCUUUCCUGUUAUUGUAAAUGUACAUAUCUAGUGAUUCACAAUUAGAAUGCUAAGUUGUUGUUAUUAUUAUUAUUAUAUUAUUAU